ACAACUUUCAGCAACGGAUCUCUKGGCUCUCGCAUCGAUGAAGAACGCAGCGAAUUGCGAUAAGUAAUGUGAAUUGCAGAUUUUCAGUGAAUCAUCGAAUCUUUGAACGCACCUUGCGCUCCUUGGUAUUCCGAGGAGCAUGCCUGUUUGAGUGUC
rnacentral:rRNA from 1 species